ensembl:snRNA U1 U1 spliceosomal RNA
UUAAAAAACUGGCGUCCCUUAACAAUGUUAGGGGUUGACGUAAAGAUCUUGUCCAAAGCUAUCUUUGGACAUGCUAUCUUCAGCCAUUGCACUCCGGCUGUGCUGACCCCUGCGAAUUUCCCAAAUGUGGAAAUCUCGAUUGCAUAAUUUCUAGUAGUGGGGGACUGCAUUCGCGCUCUCCCCUG